AGAGGGUUAGUACAGCGGCAAGUAUCGUGGACUUUGGAUCCAUGGACAGCGGUUCGAAUCCGCUACCCUCUACCA
rnacentral:tRNA from 1 species